AAGACUAUACUUCACAGGAUCAUUUCUGUAGUAAGUCUUCUUUUACUUUUGAAGAAAUUCUAAGUAAUCCCAACCUGCGAUGAAGAUGUAUAUCGUUUUGUCUUGUAGCGUGAGGUUUGACUUUUGUCCAGCGAUUUGUUCGCAUUGGAUUAACAUGUCGUCGAUGAUCGCUCGGUAAUAAGGGACAAAACGACUUCUGAGUGGU